rnacentral:rRNA from 1 species
CAGCCGCCACGGUAAUACGGAGGGUGCAAGCGUUAAUCGGAAUUACUGGGCGUAAAGUGUGCGUAGGCGGUUCGUUAAGUCUGUUGUGAAAGCCCCGGGCUCAACCUGGGAAUGGCAAUGGAUACUGGCGAGCUAGAGUGUGUCAGAGGAUGGUGGAAUUCCCGGUGUAGCGGUGAAAUGCGUAGAGAUCGGGAGGAACAUCAGUGGCGAAGGCGGCCAUCUGGGACAACACUGACGCUGAGGCACGAAAGCGUGGGGAGCAAACAGGAUUAGAUACCCCAGUAUCCCUGUCUCUUAUACC